AAAAGUGUGGCAUAGUGGUUUAAGUGUUGGACUAUGACUCUGGAGACUAGGGUUCGAUUCCUUGCUCAGCUG